rnacentral:rRNA from 1 species
GUGGGGAAUAUUGCGCAAUGGGGGAAACCCUGACGCAGCGACGCCGCGUGAGCGAAGAAGGCCUUAGGGUUGUAAAGCUCUGUUUUAAGGGACGAAUGUCGUGGGGAGUAAUAUGCUCUGCGAAUGACGGUACCUUAAGAGGAAGCCCCGGCUAACUACGUGCCAGCAGCCGCGGUAAGACGUAGGGGGCGAGCGUUGUCCGGAAUUACUGGGCGUAAAGAGCACGUAGGCGGGAACUUAAGUCAGGUGUGAAAGACCGGGGCUCAACUCCGGGGUUGCACUUGAAACUGGGUUUCUUGAGGGCAGGAGAGGAAAGCAGAAUUCCUGGUGUAGCGGUGAAAUGCGUAGAAAUCAGGAGGAAUACCAGUGGCGAAGGCGGCUUUCUGGACUGACCCUGACGCUGAGGUGCGAAAGCGUGGGUAGCAAACAGGAUUAGAUACCCUGGUAGUCC